UACGUAGGUGGCAAGCGUUGUCCGGAUUUAUUGGAUUUAAAGGGUGCGUAGGCGGCUUUAUAAGUCAGUGCUGAAAUAUCCCGGCUUAACCGGGAGGGUGGCAUUGAUACUGUGGGACUUGAGUAAAGUUGAGGUUGGCGGAAUUGACGGUGUAGCGGUGAAAUGCUUAGAUAUCGUCAAGAACACCUAUUGCGAAGGCAGCUAACUAAGCUUUAACUGACGCUGAGGCACGAAAGUGUGGGGAUCAAACAGG
rnacentral:rRNA from 1 species